rnacentral:misc_RNA from 1 species
UCCGAGUUGACCCCGGCAGUCUCCUAUGAGUCCCCGACAUUACUCGCUGGCAACAUAGGACGAGGGUUGCGCUCGUUGCGGGACUUAACCCAACAUCUCACGACACGAGCUGACGACAACCAUGCACCACCUGUGCAGGACCCUUGCGGACCCCCCAUCUCUGGAGGAUUUCCCUGCAUGUCAAGCCUUGGUAAGGUUCUUCGCGUUGCGUCGAAUUUAGCCACAUGCUCCGCUGCUUGUGCGGGCCCCCGUCAAUUCCUUUGAGUUUUAGCCUUGCGGCCGUACUCCCCAGGCGGGGCGCUUAAUGCGUUAGCUGCGGCACUGAGGACGUGGAAUGUCCCCCACACCUAGCGCCCAACGUUUACGGCGUGGACUAC